rnacentral:rRNA from 1 species
UGCGGAGGAUCAUUGUCGUUGCCUCACAAACAGCACGACGCGCGAAUCGGUUGAACCAAUACGGGGGAGGGAGGCGAGGGGUGCCCGUCGCGCCGAGUCGCCCUCCCCGAGCCCCGGGUACGAGAGUGGCCUCGUGCCGCUGCGCUACCCAGGCAACCCAACAACUAAAACCCCGGCGCGAGAAGCGCCAAGGAACUCAAACAAACGUGCGUGGCCUCGGCGAGCCGGAGACGGUUGUGGCCGGGGCUGAUCGCGAAAAGGAUGUCUAGAAACGACUCUCGGCAACGGAUAUCUCGGCUCUCGCAUCGAUGAAGAACGUAGCGAAAUGCGAUACUUGGUGUGAAUUGCAGAAUCCCGUGAACCAUCGAGUCUUUGAACGCAAGUUGCGCCCGAAGCCAUUAGGCCGAGGGCACGUCUGCCUGGGUGUCACGCAUCGUUGCCCCAAGCCCCGCCGUGCCUCCUGUUGAUCGGGGCAGGCGGGUUGCUUGGGCGGAAUCUGGCCUCCCGUGAGAACUGGCUCGUGGAUGGCCGAAAGUAGAGCCUGCGGGUGGGCAUUGCCACGCUCCACGGUGGAUGAGCUGAUGCCUCGAGAUCGAUCGUGCGCGAGCUGUCCCCCUGUCCAGGCUGCAAGGCCCCCGGUGGUGUGAAUGCGCUCCCGACGCGAC